rfam:Triticum aestivum genome assembly, contig: Triticum_aestivum_CS42_TGACv1_scaffold_289475_4AL
GUACUACUCCCUCCAUCCAAAAAACCUUGUCCCUUAAAUGGAUGUAUCUAGCACCAAGUUAGCGCAAGAUACAUCCAUUUGAGAAACAAGCUUGGGCAAGAUUUUUCGGACGGAGGGAGUACUUC